GACGAACGCUGGCGGCGUGCUUAACACAUGCAAGUCGAACGGUGAAGCGCUUUCCUUUUUGGUUGGUGUGGAUGAGUGGCGAACGGGUGAGUAACACGUGAGUAACCUGCCCCCUUCUUCUGGAUAACCGCAUGAAAGUGUGGCUAAUACGGGAUAUUCUGCGCCUGCUGCAUGGUGGGUGUGGGAAAGAUUGUGCCUUUGGGUGUUUUCGGUGGGGGAUGGGCUCGCGGCCUAUCAGCUUGUUGGUGGGGUGAUGGCCUACCAAGGCGGUGACGGGUAGCCGGCCUGAGAGGGUGGACGGUCACACUGGGACUGAGACACGGCCCAGACGCCUACGGGAGGCAGCAGUGGGGAAUAUUGCACAAUGGGCGCAAGCCUGAUGCAGCGACGCCGCGUGAGGGAUGGAGGCCUUCGGGUUGUGAACCUCUUUCGCCAGUGAAGCAGGCCUGCUCCUUGUGGGUGGGUUGACGGUAGCUGGAUAAGAAGCGCCGGCUAACUACGUG
rnacentral:rRNA from 1 species